GGAUGUCAGGGCGAUCUGGCUGCGACAUGUGUCACCCCAUUGACCGUCAAGGUUGAUUCGGCUGAUCUGGCUGGCUAGGCAGGUGUCCCUUUCUUCCCUCACUGCUCCAUGUGCGUCCCUCCCAAAGCUGUGCGCUGGGUCGUGGAAGACAACCAUCCCCAUAGAGGAGGACCGAAGAACCGUCGAGGGUAUAUGAGUAGCUGUGCCUCCCCUGCUAGGACCUCCAAACAAACUCUCUCAAUUCCCAGAAGUAAAAUCCGUUUUUGUCAAAGAUACGUAAAACUUAAUUCUGACAGUCUCUUAGAGCAGAUAUUA
rnacentral:snRNA from 1 species